rnacentral:rRNA from 1 species
UGACCAACCUGCCCCUUGCUCUGGGAUAACCCCGGGAAACCGGAGCUAAUACCGGGUACGAGACCGAGCGACAUCGCUCAGUCUGGAAAGUUUUUCGGCAAGGGAUGGGGUCGCGGCCUAUCAGCUUGUUGGUGGGGUAAUGGCCCACCAAGGCGACGACGGGUAGCCGGCCUGAGAGGGCGACCGGCCACACUGGGACUGAGACACGGCCCAGACUCCUACGGGAGGCA